CUUCUUUGCUGGCGACCGGCGCACGGGUGAGUAACACGUAUCCAACCUGCCCUUUACUCGGGGAUAGCCUUUCGAAAGAAGGAUUAAUACCCGAUAGCAUAAUGAUUCCGCAUGGUUUCAUUAUUAAAGGAUUCCGGUAAAGGAUGGGGAUGCGUUCCAUUAGGUUGUUGGUGAGGUAACGGCCCACCAAGCCUUCGAUGGAUAGGGGUUCUGAGAGGAAGGUCCCCCACAUUGGAACUGAGACACGGUCCAA
rnacentral:rRNA from 1 species